rnacentral:rRNA from 1 species
UGGUGGCGAUGGCGGAGGGGUUCCACGCGUACCCAUCCCGAACACGACCGUUAAGCCCUCCAGCGCCGAUGGUACUUGGACCGCAGGGUCCUGGGAGAGUAGGACGUUGCCAAGCA